rnacentral:lncRNA from 1 species
CUUCAGUCUCCGCAAUUAAGUCGUACAGCAGGCAUGCCCCCUGUUGCAGCUGCGCUGUCAAUCUCAUUUUGAAGCACAAAUGAUCUUAGACCCAGUGUUUGACAUGGGGUUUUAACACCAAAGAAGGCAAUUCUGCAACUUCAAAUGAGCCUAAUUGGCUGAGCGCUCGGGCGUUCACUCAAGCUGCUUCAGUCCAUCAGAGAGAGAUUUCCCGCUAAUUGAACUGCUCAGAAGGAAAAGGACCACGAGGAAUCACGAGGUGCCGAACCAUUGGAGAGGGCUGUUGAAGAACGUGUCCGGGAAGACUGGAGGCUGUAUAAAUUGUUUCCUUUUUCCUUUCGAGAAACAACGUCAAAAAGAAAUGGCUGUGUUUCCUCCUGUCUACAUACAGAGAAACCCUUUGGAAAGUGGUGAAUUUUUCAGGGAGUGUCUUAAGCUUGAAAAGCAGGCAAUCAUAGGAUAGAAAUGUGAAAAGAUUUUCAGCUGGCAAUCCCAGAGGACUUGAUUUAUAAAUGUACUUCCUCUAUAUUUUGGAUUUAAUUUCCUAUCUUUUUGUCUAACCUGAAUGUUAAGAGUUGGGGGAAAAAUGGCCAAAUUCAAACACCUUUCUACUAUCCAAGAUUGAGGUUUCAC